GACGAACGCUGGCGGCGUGCUUAACACAUGCAAGUCGAACGGAAAGGCCUGCUUUCCCUUGUGGAUUGCGGGUACUCGAGUGGCGAACGGGUGAGUAACACGUGAGUGAUCUGCCCCCAACUUGGGUAUAAGCCUGGGAAACUGGGUCUAAUUCCCGAUAGGACUGCAGGGUGGUGCCUGUGGUGGAAAACGAUUUUCUAGUGGUUGGGGAUGAGCUCGCGGCCUAUCAGCUUGUUGGUGGGGUAAUGGCCUACCAAGGCGGCGACGGGUAGCCGGCCUGACAGGCUGGACGUCCACAGUGGGACUGACAUACGGCCCAGACUCCUACGCGAGGCAGCAGUGGGGAAUAUUGCACAAGGGGCGGAAGCCUGAUGCAGCGACGCCGCGGGGAGGAUGACGGCCUUCGGGUUGUAAACUCCUUUCGACCGCGAGGAAGCCACCUGGUUGGAAGGGUGGUGACGGUAGUGGUAGAAGAAGCACCGGCUAACUACGUG
rnacentral:rRNA from 1 species